rnacentral:rRNA from 1 species
CGGCGAGUGAAGCGGCAACAGCUCAAAUUUGAAAUCUGGCCCCCUCGGGGUCCGAGUUGUAAUUUGCAGAGGGUGCUUUGGCGUUGGCAGCGGUCUAAGUUCCUUGGAACAGGACAUCGCAGAGGGUGAGAAUCCCGUAUGUGGUCGCAUGCCUCCGCCGUGUAAAGCCCCUUCGACGAGUCGAGUUGUUUGGGAAUGCAGCUCUAAAUGGGAGGUAAAUUUCUUCUAAAGCUAAAUACCGGCCAGAGACCGAUAGCGCACAAGUAGAGUGAUCGAAAGAUGAAAAGCACUUUGGAAAGAGAGUCAAACAGCACGUGAAAUUGUUAAAAGGGAAGCGCUUGCAGCCAGACUUGCCUGUAGUUGCUCACCCGGGCUCCUGCCCGGGGCACUCUUCUGCAGGCAGGCCAGCAUCAGUUUGGGCGGUCGGACAAAGGCCUCUGACACGUACUUCCUUUCGGGGAUGACAUAUAGGGGAGGCGCAAUGCGACCAGCCCGGACUGAGGUCCGCGCAUCUGCUAGGAUGCUGGCGUAAUGGCUGUAAGCGGCCCGUCUUGAAACACGGACCAAGGAGUCUAACAUCUAUGCGAGUGUUUGGGUGUCAAGCCCGAGCGCGUAAUGAAAGUGAACGGAGGUGGGAACCCCUCGGGGCGCACCAUCGACCGAUCCUGAUGUCUUCGGAUGGAUUUGAGUAAGAGCAUAGCUGUUGGGACCCGAAAGAUGGUGAACUAUGCUUGAAUAGGGUGAAGCCAGAGGAAACUCUGGUGGAGGCUCGCAGCGGUUCUGACGUGCAAAUCGAUCGUCAAAUUUGGGCAUAGGGGCG